GUACAUCUGAGGCAAACAAGGAUCAGACGGUCAAUGAUGUUCCAGAACAAAGUAGCAUCACUAAAAAGUAAUUAAAUCCAACGGUUGGUAGAGUAGCGUUAAGUUAAAGCCACGCUGAACCUCAAUUCAAAUCCCCCACUCCCAUAUAGACCCCUGCUCAUUGCCGUCUUCACCGUCUGCCAUAUCUCUGCUCCCUUCAUCGCUCACUCUAGCGCGAUAUACUAAUGGCUUUGCCAAAUCAGCAGACUGUCGACUACCCAAGCUUCAAGCUUGUAAUCGUCGGUGAUGGAGGCACUGGGUGUGUUGCUAUAUGGACCACCUGGUACUGGAAAAACACUGGUGCCUAGAGCUGUGCGUCAUCAUACUGAUUGUACUUUCAUCAGGGUUUCAGGUUCAGAAAUAUAUUGGAGAAGGCUCUAGAAUGGUUAGAGAACUCUUUGUCAUGGCAAGGGACGAAAAGUUUAUCUCCUAGAAGAUAAUUAGCAAAAGGGAGACACUUCUUUGAGACCUCUUGCUGCUGCAAAAGUACUGAGGCCACAGCCAUGGCUGCUC